UAACUUAUCCUUGCGUUAAGUUCGUGUCC
rnacentral:sRNA from 1 species